CCUACGGGUGGCAGCAGUGAGGAAUAUUGGUCAAUGGACGAGAGUCUGAACCAGCCAAGUAGCGUGAAGGAUGACUGCCCUAUGGGUUGUAAACUUCUUUUAUAUGGGAAUAAAAUGUUCCACGUGUGGGAUUUUGUAUGUACCAUAUGAAUAAGGAUCGGCUAACUCCGUGCCAGCAGCCGCGGUAAUACGGAGGAUCCGAGCGUUAUCCGGAUUUAUUGGGUUUAAAGGGAGCGUAGGUGGAUUGUUAAGUCAGUUGUGAAAGUUUGCGGCUCAACCGUAAAAUUGCAGUUGAAACUGGCAGUCUUGAGUACAGUAGAGGUGAGCGGAAUUCGUGGUGUAGCAGUGAAAGGCUUAGAUAGCACGAAGAACUCCGAUUGCGAAGGCAGUUCACUGGACUGCAACUGACACUGAGGCUCGAAAGUGUGGGUAUCAAACAGGAUUAGAUACCCUUGUAGUC
rnacentral:rRNA from 1 species